AACGAACGCUGGCGGCAUGCCUAAUACAUGCAAGUCGAACGAGAUCUUCGGGUCUAUGGGCGCACGGGUGCUUAACGCGUGGGAAUCUGCCCGUGGGUUCGGAACAACUUCUGGAAACGUAAGCUAAUACCGGUUGAUGACGUAAGUCCAAAGAUUUAUCGCCCAAGGAUGGGCCCGCGUAGGAUUAGCCAGUUGGUGGGGUAAAGGCCGACCAAGGCGACGAUCCUUGGCUGGUCGGAUAGGAUGAUAAGCCACAAUGGGACUGAGACACGGCCCAGACUCCUACGGGAGGGAGCAGUAGGGAAUACUAGACGAUGAGGGAAAGUGUAGUCAAGCAAUGCCGCGUGAGUGAUGAAGGCCUUAGGGUUGUAAAGCUCUUUUACCCGGGAUGAUAAUGACAGUACCGGGAGAAUAAGCUCCGGCUAACUCCGUG
rnacentral:rRNA from 1 species